rnacentral:lncRNA from 1 species
UGGACACUGAGGACAGCUGCCUGCCCCAGUGCUCAGAGCCGCUGUCCCACGUUGACAGAGGCCCCUGUGGGGAAUUGUCUCCUUGGUCCCUAAGGAGGAUGGGCUGAGUCCUCCAGGACCUACUUGCUCAUCAGGCAGUCUCCAGGGGGUGCCCUGACCCAGGGCCUGGUGGCAGGAGGCAUUUCCCUGGCUUAGGACGUGCAGGCAGUGGCUAAGAGCGGGGUGCUGGGGCCCCUGCUGCAGAGCCUUGCUGCUGGGACUUCUGGAGCUGCCUUUCUGACAUGCGCUUUGUUGGUUGCCAGCCGCCUUCUCCCGAGAACCUUCAGGUUCCCCUGGGCAGGAACCGACGCCCUGUGCUGUGCUGCGUGAGGCUGGCUGCAGUGUGUCUGAACAACACGAGGCCAUCUGUGCAGCCUAGAAACAAAAACAUCAAAGCCAGCCUCUGAAGAGCCCCCCCUCUUCCUUCAUUCCUAAGGGAACAUUCUGGAAGACCCUGGACACCCUCAUCAUUGGACUAGGCUCCUCAGGCUUUUCUCUGUGGCUUGAGAGCCCUUGAGUGCUGAAUCUGUGGGCUUGUGUGGUGGUUCAGCAGCCUGCAGAGGAAGGGAAGCCACCGUCCCACCUCUCUGGAGACCUCGCUCCGAUCCGGUGUUCCUGCAUCAGGCUCCUGCCCUCACACCACCCUGGUGAGCACCCCCAGCCCCCUACUGCCUGCUGCUGCCCACCUGAGUCAGCCCCUUCCUGAAUGCUCACCAUCACCUACAUCAUCUACACCAUCACUAUCUACACCCGUCACCUCUAGGAGCAGGAAUUUUGUCUGCGAGGUUUUGUCUCUGUGAGUUACUUCACUCAAGGAAGCAAUGAGUGUGGACGCCAGAUGAUGUGAAAGGGGGGCGGCGUCUACAGGAGCAUUCGCACACACAUGUGGUGUAUCUGGAGGACACCCCAGGUUUACCCACGCCAGUCACGCCCAACUCCCAAGUGCACAAACAUCCCAAUUUCUCACUGAAUGGAUCUUUGCCACCAGAGUUGAGUUCCAGGGAUUUUUGACCUUGGUUGUCAUUGUUGGGAUUUAAGCUCUUCCUGGGUGGGGUGACUCGCAGGAGCGUGGCGGGGGAGAGAGUGAGACAUCUGUGAGAGGGUGACACAGCCAUGCUGGCCCUGCUCCUGGAGUGAAAUGUGGCUGCUGGCCCAGCACACAGGUCACACAGGCCUCCGUGGCUGCGUGGCAGGAACGCAGUCUGUCUCCCUGGUCAGCCCAAGUGCAGAGCAGGACAGCUGAGAUGGCCCGGCUCCAGGUGCAGGUGCCAGGACCCUGUUCUCCCAUAAGCUUCUGCGUGGUCCUGCUAAUUGGCCCUGGUCUAAUUGCUGCCAAGUCCCACUGCAGAAGGCCCAUUAGACACCACAGCUAAUCCCCCAGCUGUGGGCGAAUUCUAACCGCAUCUGAUGCUAUCUCUCUGAGUCACCUGCUUGCCAUUAUUCCCAGUGGGAUGUGGGCCACAGUGGUUUCUGGAGUCGAAGAAGACUGAACCUGUCUCCAUGGACAUGUCCUAGGCCUCUCACAGACAAGCUCUAUCGUCAGCAGAGCCCCGGCCGGCCAGCUCUGCCUUCCUGAUGUGGAACCACUGGGUGUGGGGGAGGCCAGCCAGGCCUGCAGGGACAGAGUGGGCACCAAGCCUGCAGUGGGCACGCCUUGCCUUCUGGACUGUCAGCCUUGUGUCCUGUGGGUCUGGGUCCUCAGCCUCUGUCUUCAAGAGGGAGGGGACAUGAGCUCUCUCCAGCAGCCGCCCUUCCUGCCUGCACCUCCCACUACGCUUGCCUGUCUCUGCCACCCAUGGCCUCUCCCUGUCACCCUGCAGUGGCUUCUGCCAGACUCAGAUUCCUUCUUGCUCUGACUCUAGGAUGUCAAAUGCCCCUGACUCUGAAACUCAGGACCUGGAAGCUGCCACCCUGCAGUGGGGUAACGAGGAGGGACUUGGGUGCACACAACCCGGCCACAGAGACUCAAGAGAGGGGGACAUCAACACUGAAAGAGGGCAGUGGCCGGCAAGACGGGCCUAUCCCCCAGAAAGCACUGGCUGGGCUUGGGGCACCAGCUCAUCCCUGACUGUGAGCCCCUCUCAUCCCUGGCCCAGGAGCAGCGGGGAAUCCUGGAGCUCAUCCUCUGUAAACUGACCCUCAACUGCCGUCCUAAAUUUAGAACACACGUGGGCUUUCCGCUCCAGCAGUGUGGCCUGGUCCUUACUCUGCUGCUUUGAUGCCUCUGGAGGAAUUUGCUAUUUAAGGACAUCCUAUGAUUAAUCACUUCAUAAAGCAAAAGCCAUCUCCGCUGUUCUGUUGGGAAUAGCUGUUUUCACAGGUGGGUGUUGCUCAAAGCAGGGCUGCCAGUUUAAAAAAAUAUAGAUGCC